rnacentral:lncRNA from 10 species
CCUGCACACAUGGCCCGCCGCACUCGGUGCUGGUAACGCUGCCAGGAGGGGGAGGCGCUGGUGAGGGUGACAUAGCGGUCGACACUGAGGCACACCAGGAAGAAGAUGCUGCUAUACAUGUUGACAAAGUAGAAGUAGUGAGUGAAGCGGCAGGAGAAGCUGCCCCAGAGCCAGGUGUAGUCCAGCGUGACCUCCAGCAUCCACACGGGCAGAGACAGGACAAUGCCCAGGUCCGCGAUGGCCAUGUUGAGGAUGUAGAGGUUCAUCAGCCCUGCCCGGCCUGAGCCGCGCCAGUUGACGCAUAUCACCAGGAGGUUCUCCACCAGCCCAACCACAAACAUGGCCAGGUAGAGGGCAAAGAGGACCACGCGCUUGGUGCUCUGGCUGAGCUCCACGUGGCACUCAGACAAAGUGUGGUUGAAGAGGUCAAGCAGCUCGGUCCAGUUGUGGAUCUCUCCAAGGUCACUGCAGAGCUUCCUGCCCUUCAGAGCGCUUUCACCUCACUUCAUCUCGUUGGAUUCUGGAGAUACCCCUGUGGGGAGGAUGGAUUUCUUCACCCUCUUUGAGGCCCAGAGAAGUUGUCUGUUA